ACAAAAACCCCUUGAAUGAGUAGGUAUGUCCAAACGUGUGACUGGUACUGCCAAUUCAUGGUUAUUCACUUGUUUUGGUUUAUCCUCUAAAUGCAGUGACUUACUGGGCAAUUAUUUGCUUCAUGACUGGCUGUUUGAUGAUCUUUCAACUGUACUUAACAGGCGUUCAUAAGUAAGAUGAUACACAAAGUGCAGUUUAACGCCGAACCCAUGCACAUGAAAGGGUUACAUAUAGGACUGAAGGAGGAAGAGGAUACAGAGGGGACCUGGACAUGGGUUAACGGGACUGAGCUGACUCAGGGGUACUGGCAUGAGACAGCCCAAUGACUACUAUGGAAUGGAGGACUGUGCGGCCAUCCAUUCCAAAAUAAAUCCCAUGGAGUCCUGGAAUGAUGCUGUGUACGCAUCCAUUGAACUGGAUAUGUGAAAUAAAAUCAAGG